CCACGCCGUAAACGAUGGGCACUAGGUGUGGGGGGUGUCGACUCCCUCCGUGCCGAAGCUAACGCAUUAAGUGCCCCGCCUGGGGAGUACGGCCGCAAGGCUAAAACUCAAAGGAAUUGACGGGGGCCCGCACAAGCAGCGGAGCAUGUGGUUUAAUUCGACGCAACGCGAAGAACCUUACCUGGGCUUGACAUGUGGGUGACCGCCCUGGAAACAGGGCUUCCCUUCGGGGCACCUUCACAGGUGGUGCAUGGCUGU
rnacentral:rRNA from 1 species